rnacentral:rRNA from 1 species
UACGUAGGGUGCAAGCGUUAAUCGGAUUUACUGGGCGUAAAGCGCACGUAGGCGGAUCGAUCAGUCAGGGGUGAAAUCCCAGAGCUCAACUCUGGAACUGCCUUUGAUACUGUCGAUCUGGAUGUAUGGAAGAGGUGAGUGGAAUUCCGAGUGUAGAGGUGAAAUUCGUAGAUAUUCGGAGGAACACCAGUGGCGAAGGCGGCUCACUGGUCCAUUACUGACGCUGAGGUGCGAAAGCGUGGGGAGCAAACAGG